UACAGAGGUCUCUAGCGUUGUUCGGAUUCAUUGGGCGUAAAGGGUGCGUAGGCGGCGUGGUUAGUCGGAUGUGAAAUCUUGGGGCUCAACCCCAAAACUGCAUUCGAUACUGCCAUGCUUGAAGACUGAAGAGGAGAUUGGAAUUCACGGUGUAGCAGUGAAAUGCGUAGAUAUCGUGAGGAAGACCAGUGGCGAAAGCGAAUCUCUGGACAGAUCUUGACGCUGAUGCACGAAGGCCAGGGGAGCAAACGGG
rnacentral:rRNA from 2 species